rnacentral:tRNA from 1 species
GACGCUGGAGCCAGACGGCCAGGCGGCCGGUUGCAAACCGGUUGAAGUGGGUUCGACUCCCACCUGCGUCU